AUGGGGAUCUUGACGUCCAGCAGCUCGGAAAUGGUCUCCUCGAUGGCCGACUUCUCCAUGAGCUCCUUCUCGCACUCGUACAGCACCUCGCUCAGCCCCAUGUCGGAGACCUUGAUGCUGUCGUCCAUGGCGUUGUCCCCGCCGGACAUCAUCGAGAUGGCGGCGGCGACCGGGUCGAGGGCCAGCAGCGGCUCCUCGAUUAUGGGCUCCGGAGCCUUGAACAGGUCGCCUUCUGCUCCCAGGGCAGAGCAGAGAAGAGCAUAUGCCGCCGCCCAUGGACAGGACAGGACAGGACAGUGGCAUCUCCUCCAAUUUGGCCAACCUAAUUCCAUCCCUCUCUUCAAUUUGGCAGGGCAGCUAAAGCCUAAAGGCCGUCGAUGUAAACAAGAAGGCGGAAGGAAAGAAAGCGACAUUAUAAUUUGUCUCCACGGAGAGGAACCGAGUGGAGAAGAGAAGAAUUGGCGGCGGCGGCCUUACAAGUGGAAGUGGUGCAGCAACCAAUUUGAGAGACCACCUUCUAAUUGA
rnacentral:rRNA from 1 species